UGUUGACUCUUGAUCUUUUGCGUUAAUAAGCAGAAUCCAAGAGGCAGAAUGAAGCUGCUGCAGAUGGUUUGGAUGGCUUUGAUACUGAUGAAGAAGAGGAUGAUGAAGUUGAGUCUGACAGAGAUUGGUCUUGAUAAUGAAGAUGGCGAUGGAGUAAUAAUUUCAAUCCUCAGAGUUUUGCGGAGGUGAGAGGUUUCCAUCGAGAAGAUUCAGAAGAUGAUUCUGAUGAUGAUUUUAGCGACGAUGAAGAGCUACAGACACCAAUAGAUGAGGUGGGCCCAUUUAUUUUCUUUGUCGAAACCAUCCAGGGUUUUCAAGCAUCUGAUCCAAGUAGGUUCCAGAGCCUUAUGCAGACUAUGCACGCCGAGGAAAGAAAAGCUGAAAUUGCAAAAGAGAAGUUGGAGAAGGCAACUGCACAGUGAUUACUACAGCAUGGUUGGGUCGUGUCUUGAGUUUUGCCGAUGCCUGGGACUGGCACGGGGCCAGAAUCCUGUCUGUGAUUUGGUGAUCGCAGGUGAGGGGUGUUUUUUUCGUUGCCUUGGCCUACCUGCUUUGGGGAGAUCAGUUUUGAGGCACACUAUUUCUAGGGGAAAUGGAUGGCAACCAUAGCGACUAGUGAGAGUCUGUCGGAGUUGGUUUCUUGAGUGGGUCAUGGUGGGGGUGUAUGUAUCAGUGAACACUGUGUUGCCGCUGUUUUCGGUUGAUGGGUCCUCUGCUAGAUGGUACACCGUGGGCACACCCACCACAAGGUCGCCGCCUGUAAGUUUCGGGGGUGUGAAUCUAAAUUAGAUACUUAUUAUUAUACCAUUUGUGUGCCCAACAAGGAUUAUACGACGGGUUUUUGUUU